GUCGAGCGNNCAGCAAUGGGAGCGGCAGACGGGUGAGUAACACGUGGGGAUGUGCCCAAAGGUACGGAAUAGCUCCGGGAAACUGGAAUUAAUACCGUAUGUGCCCUUCGGGGGAAAGAUUUAUCGCCUNUGGAUCAACCCGCGUCUGAUUAGCUAGUUGGUGAGGUAAAGGCUCACCAAGGCGACGAUCAGUAGCUGGUCUGAGAGGAUGAUCAGCCACACUGGGACUGAGACACGGCCCAGACUCCUACGGGAGGCAGCAGUGGNGAAUAUUGGACAAUGGGCGCAAGCCUGAUCCAGCCAUGCCGCGUGAGUGAUGAAGGCCUUAGGGUUGUAAAGCUCNUUCGCCGGUGAAGAUAAUGACGGUAACCGGAGAAGAAGCCCCGGCUAACUUCGUGCCAGCAGCCGCGGUAAUACGAAGGGGGCAAGCGUUGCUCGGAAUCACUGGGCGUAAAGCGUACGUAGGCGGGUCGUUAAGUCAGGGGUGAAAUCCUGGAGCUCAACUCCAGAACUGCCCUUGAUACUGGCGAUCUUGAGUUCGAGAGAGGUUGGUGGAACUGCGAGUGUAGAGGUGAAANUCGUAGAUAUUCGCAAGAACACCAGUGGCGAAGGCGGCCNNNUGGCUCGAU
rnacentral:rRNA from 1 species